UACGUAGGGUGCGAGCGUUAAUCGGAAUUACUGGGCGUAAAGCGUGCGCAGGCGGUUUUGUAAGACAGAUGUGAAAUCCCCGGGCUUAACCUGGGAAUGGCGUUUGUGACUGCAAGACUUGAGUGCGGCAGAGGGGGGUGGAAUUCCACGUGUAGCAGUGAAAUGCGUAGAUAUGUGGAGGAACACCGAUGGCGAAGGCAGCCCCCUGGGUCGACACUGACGCUCAGGCACGAAAGCGUGGGGAGCAAACAGG
rnacentral:rRNA from 1 species